rnacentral:miRNA from 1 species
UGAGAUUCAACUCCUCCAUCUC